UACGGGGGGGGCAAGCGUUGUUCGGAAUUACUGGGCGUAAAGGGUUCGUAGGUGGCUUGCUAAGUCAGACGUGAAAUCCCUCAGCUUAACUGGGGAACUGCGUCUGAGACUGGCCGGCUUGAGUGCAGGAGAGGAACGCGGAAUUCCAGGUGUAGCGGUGAAAUGCGUAGAUAUCGGAAGGAACAUCAGUGGCGAAAGCGACAUCCUGGACCAAUACUGACGCUCAUGUGCGAAAGCGUGGGGAGCAAACAGG
rnacentral:rRNA from 1 species